GAUCAUGGCCUAGUAGUUAGAGCUUCCGCUUCGAAGGCGGGAGGUCGUGGGUUCGAACCCAGGCAGAGUCA